UGAGCCUACGGGAGGCAGCAGUAGGGAAUAUUGCUCAAUGGGGGAAACCCUGAAGCAGCAACGCCGCGUGGAGGAUGAAGGUUUUAGGAUUGUAAACUCCUUUUGUUAGAGAAGAUUAUGACGGUAUCUAACGAACAAGCACCGGCUAACUCCGUGCCAGCAGCCGCGGUAAUACGGAGGGUGCAAGCGUUACUCGGAAUCACUGGGCGUAAAGAGAGCGUAGGCGGGGUAAUAAGGCGGAUGUGAGA
rnacentral:rRNA from 1 species